CUUCCCUUUUGAUGUCCCCUACAGUGGAGGAUGGCAGCUUUGUUUGGCAAGGAAUAUGACUUUGUUUGGAAAGCCAGCUAUCAAGAAGAUGGCAGACUGAUGUCUCAAAAUAACCAUUUUAUCAGCGUCUGGAUGCCAGGUGCUUUUAUAGGACAUAAAGGAAGAAGACAACAGAGGAUGAGACGGCUGGAUGGCAUCACUGAUGUGAUGGACAUAAGUUUGAGCAAGCUCUGGGAGUUGGUGAUGAACAGGGAAGCCUGGCGUGCUGCAGAUCAUGGAGUUGGAAAGAGUCAGACAGGACUGAGCAACUGAACCAAACUGAAAGAAGAGGCAGUAAGGAAGUAAAGUAAAAAGGUCAUCAAUUUUGCAAAUAUCUUCCAGAAUGGCAAGCUUUGGGGAGGGGAUGUGUUAAUCUCCUCUUUCUUGCAUAGGCUCUCAUAGAAUUUUAAAUUUUUAAAUUUAUCUAUUUUUGGCUGUGCUGGGUCUUUGUUGCUGCAUGGCUUUUGUCUAGUUGCAGCAAGCAGUGCUCCUAUCUGGUUGUGGUACACAGGCUUCUCAUUGCAGUGGCUUCUCG
ensembl:lncRNA